rnacentral:tRNA from 1 species
GUCCAGGGUAGCCUAGUGGACAUGGCAUCUGCCCGGUAAGUGGGACACUGUGGAUUAGAUUCCCAACCCUGGACA